rnacentral:misc_RNA from 1 species
AAGACUAUAGACCUGCGGAGUACCUGCGGAAGGAUCAUUAACGUAUCUAUGAUGGGGUGCGGAGCGCCCUGCUCCGGUCGAACGGCCGUGCAGCGGGUGCGCCGUCCCCGUCCCACCUCACAAACCCACUGUGAACAUUCACCGGUGGAGGGGGCUCGGUCUGCGCCGUGUCCCCGAUGCCGAAUACCCAAACUCCAGUUGCAAAGAACGUCGUGCGGACUCGGUGCCGCCUAAAACAUG